rnacentral:rRNA from 1 species
AUUGAACGCUGGCGGCAUGCCUUACACAUGCAAGUCGAACGGCAGCGCGGGCUUCGGCCUGGCGGCGAGUGGCGGACGGGUGAGUAAUGCACCGGAACGUGCCCAGGAGUGGGGGAUAACGUAGCGAAAGUUACGCUAAUACCGCAUACGUACUGAGGUAGAAAGCGGGGGAUCGAAAGACCUCGCGCUCAUGGAGCGGCCGAUGUCGGAGUAGCUAGUUGGUGGGGUAAAAGCUCACCAAGGCGACGAUCCGUAGCUGGUCUGAGAGGACGACCAGCCACACUGGGACUGAGACACGGCCCAGACUCCUACGGGAGGCAGCAGUGGGGAAUCUUGGACAAUGGGGGAAACCCUGAUCCAGCAAUGCCGCGUGUGGGAUGAAGGCCCUCGGGUUGUAAACCACUUUUGGCAGGAAAGAAAUCGCCUGUGCUAAUACCAUGGGCGGAUGACGGUACCUGCAGAAUAAGCACCGGCUAACUACGUGCCAGCCGCCGCGGUAA